AUUUACAUUACUAACACUAGCUUAAUGGUAACUAAGUUAUUUUUCUAAAUUCUUUGUUAUAUCCAAAAUAAUUGAAAGAAACCCAGAGCAUCUCAAAAUAAAUAUGGUAAUGAAAGGGUUAAUUUGUAUGUUCAGCUAAGGUAUUUCACAAAAAAGCAUUCAUUUCUCUCAUUUCUGCUGUUAACCAAGAAGUUUAAGUCCAUCUACAACAUUUCAAACAGAUAAUAGUAACAAUAAUGACUUUUUUUUUUGUUGUAAGUUGUGAUGUUCAUGCUUUUAUUAAGGUAUUGAGGACAUUACUGAAGCAUUUUCAAACUAGAAUUGAAAUUGUCUUAGAUUUAAUUUCACCAAAGUUUAUUGUUUAGAAAAUAAUGCUCUACAAUAAUAAUAAUAAUAAUAAUAAUAAUAAUAAUUGUAUUGAUAACAAUGAUUUUAUAUUGACCGGUAACAAAAUUUUUAUAUUAACAUUCUUGUGAUUAUAAUAAGUUCUAUCAACACUGCCUGGAUUCAAACUGAAAACUUGUCUUACUUCAGUAUGACACCUCAGCUUUAUAUGGAAAGUUAUGUUCAUCAUUUUCAAUGUCAUAACGAUUAAAAAGAAAAUAGCUUCUUGAAGGAAUGUUUGUAAUAGGUUAAACUAUAGACAAUAAUGCUGGGAAACUUUGUGGCUGCAGUAGAUAUCUACCUAGUGGAGAUAUUCUUUUUGAGAUGAGUUUUGCAUAGAAUGGAUUAUUUGUACACCAGUCACUAAUUUCAGUUUUGAAAUAAAAAGAAUUUAUGAAAUUGUUAAGUCUAUACUUUACAACAUUGUAAUGUUCCUAUAUGAUAUUUUUGUAUGAAAAGAUUUGGUUAUAAUAAACUUAUUUUAAUUCA